UACGUAGGGUGCAAGCGUUGUCCGGAAUUAUUGGGCGUAAAGAGCUCGUAGGCGGUUUGUUGCGUCGGCUGUGAAAUCCCGAGGCCCAACCUCGGGUCUGCAGUCGAUACGAGCAAACUAGAGUGUUGCAGGGGAGACUGGAAUUCCUGGUGUAGGUGAAAUGCGCAGAUAUCAGGAGGAACACCGGUGGCGAAGGCGGGUCUCUGGGCAACAACUGACGCUGAGGAGCGAAAGCGUGGGGAGCGAACAGG
rnacentral:rRNA from 1 species